UACAGAGGUCUCAAGCGUUGUUCGGAUUCAUUGGGCGUAAAGGGUGUGUAGGUGGCGCCGUAAGUCGGGUGUGAAAUCUCGGGGCUUAACUCCGAAACUGCAUUCGAUACUGCGGUGCUUGAGGACUGGAGAGGAGACUGGAAUUCAUGGUGUAGCAGUGAAAUGCGUAGAGAUCAUGAGGAAGACCAGUGGCGAAGGCGGGUCUCUGGACAGUUCCUGACACUGAGACACGAAGGCCAGGGGAGCAAACGGGG
rnacentral:rRNA from 1 species